CAGUCGCCGCGGGAAUACGAAGGGGGCUAGCGUUGCUCGGAAUUACUGGGCGUAAAGGGCGCGUAGGCGGCGCUCCAAGUUAGGCGUGAAAUUCCCGGGCUCAACCUGGGGACUGCGCUUAAGACUGGAGUGCUUGAGGAUGGAAGAGGGUUGUGGAAUUCCCAGUGUAGAGGUGAAAUUCGUAGAUAUUGGGAAGAACACCGGUGGCGAAGGCGGCAACCUGGUCCAUUACUGACGCUGAGGCGCGAUAGCGUGGGGAGCAAACAGGAUUAGAUACCCCAGUAGUCCCUGUCUCUUAUAA
rnacentral:rRNA from 1 species